AUAUACGAAAAAAUUAAUUAAUUAUUUAUUUAUUCGAACGUUUUAUGCGAAAAUGAAUGCAUCAAAAUAAACAAUAACUCUAAAUAGUUAAAAUUUGAUUAAGUAACAACUAUAUAUAAUUUUCUUAAGAAAAAUCAUUUAAGAAACAAAUAAGAAAGUUUUAAUGUGCAAAUAAAGCCAAUUUUUAAUAGAUUCUGCAAGCAUAUUUUAGUAUGAAUCUAUUAUUUUGUUACUUAAACCAUCAAUGUAUAUAUAAGAUAAGAAAUACUGUAUAUACGAAAACUAUAUAUAUACAAUACAGGGCCGGCGCAAGGCAGAUUCAGCGGGUUCGCCGGAACCCGACCCUGCGUUUUGAGAUGCCCCGCGGUCUACGAAAAUUACCCAAUUAAAAAACACCGAUUUUGAUUAACUUUUUACAGAAUGAUGAUACCAUUAACAGAUGCAAGAUAUUUUUUAGUAGCGAUGAUUCAAUUUAAAGGAGUGACAAAAAUCAUCAAAGUUCAGUGUAACUCCAUAAAGUCCUCAUAUCCUGG
rnacentral:lncRNA from 1 species